rnacentral:rRNA from 1 species
UAGGGAAUAUUGGACAAUGGACGAAAGUCUGAUCCAGCGACGCCGCGUGGAGGAUGAAGGCCUUCGGGUUGUAAACUCCUGUUGUGAGGAAAGAAGCCGAAAGGUGACGGUACCUCACGAGGAAGCCCCGGCUAACUACGUGCCAGCAGCCGCGGUAAGACGUAGGGGGCAAGCGUUAUCCGGAUUCACUGGGCGUAAAGGGCGCGUAGGCGGUUACGUAAGUCCGGCGUGAAAUCUCACAGCUCAACUGUGGAACUGCGUCGGAUACUGCGUUGACUAGAGGGCGGUAGAGGUACCUGGAACUAGCGGUGUAGCGGUGAAAUGCGCAGAUAUCGCUAGGAACGCCGGUGGCGAAGGCGAGGUACUGGGCCGUUCCUGACGCUGAGGCGCGAAAGCUAGGGGAGCGAACCGG